UACGGAGGAUCCGAGCGUUAUCCGGAUUUAUUGGGUUUAAAGGGUGCGUAGGCGGCUUUUUAAGUCAGGGGUGAAAGACGGCAGCUCAACUGUCGCAGUGCCUUUGAUACUGAAAAGCUUGAAUGUACUUGAGGUAGGCGGAAUGUGACAAGUAGCGGUGAAAUGCAUAGAUAUGUCACAGAACACCAAUUGCGAAGGCAGCUUACUAAAGUAAUAUUGACGCUGAGGCACGAAAGCGUGGGGAUCAAACAGG
rnacentral:rRNA from 1 species